UCCAAAUACACCUCAGAUUUUUCUCUCUCUUGCUCCGUUCUUCUGUAUACGCACGCGCUAAUUUACACAGACAAACACGUGUGGGAAGUACAUGUGUAAGUUUGUACACGUUAAUUUCUGUCGUGCGAUGUUUUGUUGUCGUUUGCAUCUUUUUUUCUGAUAUUUGUUUAGACGAUUUGGUUGAAUUUCUCGAUCCGGAGGUUUUUUUAACCCGGUGUGAAUCUGCGUGCCCGAUUGAUUUUUGAUAGGUUUUAGAUCAGAGUGAAGCCCUAGAAAUUAAAUAAAGCACGAUAAAGAAGGGCUUCUGUCUAAUUGGAGCGAUCUAGGGUAUUUUCCGUGGUCGAAUUGGGAGAUUCGGGGCUUUUUUUUGAUUCUGUUGUUGAUAUUCGAUUGGGAGUUUCUGGAGAUUUGAAUUAUUGUCGAAAAUGAGAUAAAUAGGUGCUGAUAGGAGUUUAGGUUUGUUGUUGAGGUCGAAAUUUGACGAGGAAUUUUGAAAGAUUUUGAUGCUUGAAGCAGAGGGUGGUAUAAAAACUGGGGAAAAUGCAAAUAACCGUAUUUUAUUAUGCAUGGGCGGGUUCAGCGAGACAGCGAGAGCUGUAGGAGUUUACGGCGAAGUAGUAGUCAGCACAUGCGGUCACUCCUUCCAUUAUCGAAUACCAACAAUUCUGUAGUUGUCGCUGGGGAGAUUCAUUCUCCUCGUGUUUCUGCUGCCACAACCUCCGCCACUAGUGAUUCGUUCUUAAAGGACGGUCGCAAAAUUAGUGUUGGUGACUGUGCUCUUUUCAAACCGCCCAAGGAUUAUCCACCUCUCAUUGGUUUAAUUCGUUGGUUGGGGUUUAACAAAGAUAAUAACUUGCAGCUGGGUGUGAAUUGGCUUUAUCGAUCAUCUGAACUAACGCUUGAAAAGGGCACUUUAGUGGACGGUGCCCCAAACGAGAUUUUCUAUUCAUUUCACAAGGACGAAAUUCCUGCUGCAUCUCUACUCCAUCCAUGUAAAGUUGCAUUUCUUCCUAGAGGUGUAGAACUUCCCAAAGGGACAUCCGCUUUUGUUUGUCGGCGUGCCUAUGACAUUACAAACAAGUGUUUAUGGUGGCUAACAGAUCAAGAUUACAUUAAUGAGCAGCAAGAAGAAGUAGAUCGACUUUUACACAACACUAAGAUAGAGAUGCAUGUGAGUUUGCAGCCUGUUGUUCGUUCUCCAAAGCAAGCUAAUGUUCCGACUUCAACCUCACAGUUGAAACCGACUUCUGAUAGUGGUCAAAAUAGUGGGAGUUCUUUUCCUUCUCAACCCAAGGGAAAGAAGAGGGAGAGAGGUGAUCAUGGUUCGGACCCUUCAAAACGAGAACGCUCUUCAAGGACUAAUGGUGGUGAUUUGGUUCAAUGCAAAACCAAAAGUAAUUUAAAAUAUGAGAUUGCACGAAUAACAGAAAAAAGUGGAGUUUUGGAUUUGGAAGGGGUUGAAAAACUUGUCCAGUUGAUGCAAACAGAUAGAACAGAGAGAGAAAUGGAUUUGGUAAGCCGCUCCAUGCUUGCCAAUGUAAUGGCUUCCAUUGAAAAGGUUGAUUGCCUCAAUUUGUUUGUGCAGCUCAGAGGUUUGCCUGUGUUGGAUGAGUGGCUGCAGGAUAUUCAUAAAGGGAAGAUUGGUAAUGAUUCUAAUGUCAAGGAUGGUGAUAAAUCUGUGGAGGAAUUCCUUUUGGUUUUACUUCGUGCACUCGAUAAACUUCCAGUUAAUCUUCAUGCCCUUCAGAUGUGCAACAUUGGCAGAUCUGUGAAUCACUUACGAUCACAUAAAAAUAUAGAAAUUCAGAGAAAGGCACGGAGUUUAGUUGACACUUGGAAGAAACGUGUUGAAGCCGAAAUGAUUAGUAUUGAUGCGAAGUCAACCUCAACCCACACUGUAUCUGUGUGGCCUUCCAAGUCACGUCUUCCAGAGGCUUCUCAUGGUUUGAGCGGAACUCCAAGUGAGUCUGAUGCUGCCAUUAAAAGCUCAAUUACUCAGAAUUCUGCAUCCAAAACUACUUCAGUUAAGUCUUCACAUGGGGAAAGUAGCAUAAAGUAUGCAACCUCAUCUCCUAGACCUGUCCAACCAGCUUCACAACUUGCAUCUGGAAAGGAGAGCCAGAGUAGAAUUUCUGUGGGAGGCACUGCUGGUGCCCCUCAAAUUAGGGAGGACAGGAGUAGCAGCUCUAAUCAUUCCAAUAGUUAUGGUCAGUCUUCUCCAGCGAAGGAAGACCUGAAGAAUUCCACAGCAGGUUCAUUGACUGCUAAUAACAUGUCCAGCAGUAGUACCCGUAAUCGGAAAUUUAGUGGUUUUCCUGGAACAUCACCGACUGGAAGUCAGAUAGAAACAAGCUCUAGCAGAAUUCCUUCAGCACAAAAAAGUACUGCUUUUGAGAAGAAGUCUCACUCUGCAUUAACGAGUGAAAGGGUUGUCGAAGGACCCAGUGAAGGAAGCAGUCAUAAGUUAAUUGUUAAGAUACCAAAUCGGGCGAGGAGUCCUGCCCAAGGUGGCAGUGGAGGAUAUUUUGAAGAACCUACCUUUACCAGCAGCCGAGCUUCUUCUCCUGCUGUUGUGAACAAACAUGAACAGUCUGAUAAUGUUUCAAAAGACAGGAGUUGUGCAUAUCGAUUCAAUGUUGGGGCAGACAUGAAUGCAUGCCGAAACAGUGAUUCAAAAGAGGUAUUUGUUAAGUCAGAGGAUGCUGUGUCACCUGCAGUUCUUCCUGAUGAAGAGCAAAGCAUAAUCAAUGAAGGCUCCAAGAGAUUAAUUGAAGCCCCUCCUAGGAAUCAAUUGGAGUCGUUCAAAUUGAAAGCCUCAUCUUUCAGCCCCAUGAAUGCGCUAAUUGAGAGCUGUGCUAAAUAUUCGGAAGCAACUUCAUCAUUGUCACUUGAAGAUGAUGUUGGAAUGAACUUGCUUGCUAGUGUGGCUGCCGGAGAAAUGUCCAGAUCUGAUGUGGUUUCCCCUACUGAUUCUAGUGAAAGAAGUAAGCCUGUAGUUGAGGAUGUCUGCACUGGUGAUGAGGCAAAAUCAAAGUCUUCCCCUGAAAAUUACGAGGCAAGAGCGCAGAAUCAGUUUCAAAAUGACGCUGAACGUGAUGUCAAGAAGCAGGCUGUUUUGGACAGUUUGUCAUAUUCCGAUGAUGGGUUAUAUUUGUCUAAGAAUGCACCACCCGAGCUUUCUAGUUUUAAGAAAUGUGCUCCAUGUCAUUCUUCUGAAGAUAAACAAAAUGGGGGAGGUACUCCAGGCACGGUUUCGAGAUGCAAUGCAGACCUUAAGUGGAAGAUCAGUGAGAAGCCAAAUGAAAAUACAGUUGCCUCUUCUUUGGCACUUCCGAUCUCUCCAGAGAAGGUAAGGCACGUUGAAUCAAAUGCAGGGAUUCAGGAGGAAAAAGGCAUUUAUAGUAAUGUUAUUGGUGAUGGUAUUUCAAAUAGUAGAACUAGCAGAAGUGAUGUCAUGAUGGCCGAGGAAAAGGACGUUUCUGAUCAUUUGAGUGUAGAUGGGUCUAAGCCAAUGGUUGGACUUGCGGAACCACAGCCCUUGGAUGGAGGUGACUUCACCAAGUUUGUGAAUGGAGGAUUAGACACGACAGCCAAUUCACAUCAGAAAUUGACUGUUGAGAUUCUCAAGUCUGAAUUUGCAGCAGGAGAUAAUACUGAAAAGCUUCACCAAACCGAAUGUAGCCAGAAAUCAGUGUCAGAAUCUGGUGAUCCAUUUCAAGCUGGAGAACUGGAUCUUAAAUCUGCCAAUAAUUGCAUUAGCAAGUCUGAAAGACUGAACUCUGUUAAGGAAGAGAAAGUGCACGGAAAUACAGCUAUUGGAAGCCAUAGUGCAGCUGCCUUAUGUUUGACAUCUCAUGAUCUCAAAAGUCAUCAUAAAGAGGCAAAGGUGGAAAACCAGGAGAUUCCAGAGCAUGUUUCACUUCCAGAGAGAAAGUACCCUUGUUCUGCGGAUAAUGAAGUUCAGAAAGUGGCUGAAUUGACAGAAUCCAUGUGUACAAGCAUUCAGAAAGAUGAGAGUGCUUCUGGUGGUGCCGGGGCAGCUUCUUCCUCUGCUACAAGAGCAGAUGAUCCAGGUGCAAAGAUAAAGUUUGACUUAAAUGAAGGUUUUAGUGACGAUGAUAGGAAGUAUGAGGAGUCCGACACAACCUCUGGUUCCACCAAUAAUCAUAUUAACUCGUUACCACUUUCUGUGAAUUCUUUAACUGGUGCUCCUUCUACCACCAUUACCGUAGCUGCUGCUGCAAAAGGCCCCUUUGUUCCGCCUGAGGACUUGUUGAGGAAUAAAGUUGAACUUGGAUGGAAGGGAUCUGCUUCUACUAGUGCAUUUCGACCUGCUGAACCUAGAAAAGUUCUUGAAAUGCCGCUGGGUCCAACAAAUUUGUCAUGCCCUGAUACUUCUUCCAGUAAACAAGACCGCAUUCUUUUGGAUAUUGAUCUGAAUGUGCCAGAUGAAAGAGUUCUCGAGGAAAUGGCUUGUCGAGGUGCUGCUUUGGCGGUUGAUUCAACAACUGAGCGGGCAAGUAAUUUUUCCACGUCGAAUGAGGCAUCUAAUUCUAUGCCUAUUCGCGGAUCUGGUGGGCUGGAUUUUGAUUUGAAUGCACUCGAUGAAGCAAAUGAUACUGGGCACUGCACCACCACCGCCGCCAGUCGCAACGGAGAGCCAUCUAUUCUGAAUUUCAAAAUUGGUGGCUUACAUGCUCGGAGGGAUUUUGAUCUCAACGACGGGCUUGUGGCUGAUGAUUCAAGUGCGGAACAGUUUCCCUUCAAUCAACUAGUCAAAGGUGGUAGAACGUCUCAGCUGCCUUUGGCUGGACUUAGAAUGAACAGUCCAGUGAUGGGCAGUUACUCAUCCUGGUUUCCUCAAGCGAAUACUUACUCAAAAGUAGCAAUCCCGACAAUGUUACCUGAUCGAGUGGAGCAGCCUUUCCCCGUUUUUCCACCCGGUGGGCCCCAGAGAACGUAUGGCCCUACUGGUGUUAGUGUUAAUCCAUUUAAUCCUGACAUUUACCGUGGAUCAGUAUUAUCAUCAUCUCCUGCAACGCCUUUUCCCUCAAGUCCUUUUCAGUUCCCUGUCUUUCCUUUUGGUCCCACUUACCCUCUCCCUUCGGCCACUUUUUCAGUCGGAAAUACCUCGUAUACAGAUUCUGCAUCUGGUCCCAGGCUCUUUGUACCUUCAGUAAAUUCACAGUAUUUAGGACCUGUUGGUUCUGUCACAUCCCAAUUUCAGAGGCCUUACGUGGUUAGCCUUCCAGAGAUGAAUAAUAACGGUGGGCUUGAGAGCAACAUAAAGUGGGUCCGACAGGGUCUGGACCUCAACACUGGCCCUGAAGCUGUGGAAAGUGCAGGCAGGGGAGACAUGUGGCCUUUGUCAUCAGGCCAACACUCUGGUCCCAGUUCGCAAGCUCUAGCGGAGGAGCAGGCCAGGAUGUUUUCUGUUUCAGGUGGUAUUUUGAAGAGGAAAGAACCCGAGGGAGGCUGGGAUAAUGAGGCCUUCAGACAUAAGCAGUCUUCACGGAAGUAGAAUGGGAGCUUUGGAGUAUAUAUUCCCUAGGAUCAUUGAGCAAAGGAGUAAGCAUUCAAUGUUGUCAGAUGAAGUACUGAUUAUCAGCAGCCUCCCUUUGUACUGUAGUAUUUGAAGCCCCGAUUAACUAUCGACGUGGUGGUUAUUUCUCCAGAGGAUGGGAUGGGUGACCUGUGAGUAGAUUUUGUGUCCAUAUUCUCCGACCCUCACUGCUCGUGCAUGUUAGGUGUAUGGUGCAGGCAGCACUGCAUAGCCGCUGUAGAUAUUUGUUGCAGAAAGCAUUAAACCCCUUCCCAGUGCAUAGCAUUCAAAAUAGUUCGAUGCAACAUCCCUAACUAAUAUUCUGAGGAGGCUGGUUUUAUAUCUGGUAUAUUUGGAGCCCUUCGGAAUUUGAGCUUGCGUUUUUUUCUUCACUUUUUAUUACUCUUUUACCCUUUUUUGUCUUUAUUUCCCCCAUACAUAUAUUUAUGUUAAUGCGUAGGGUGUAAUCUAAUUUUGGAUACUAAAAAAUGCCAUCUUGUUUGCUUUAGUCGUAAUCGCUUUUAUGGUAUUAUAAGUUUGUUUUACAUUACCCUUCUCGUCGCAGUAUCUUUGAUGCACCGUCUUUUUAUCGACUGUGCGUUGAUUGUGAAAUGAAUACUAUUAAUUUUGGUUUUUU